GGUAGCUGUCUCUUCAAGCACUGCAAAUGCAAGCAUUAGGGUUAUGAACUCCAUCAAAGUACAUAAAAAUUAGAUGUUGCAACAUUCACGCCUAGUUCUUUAAUUCCCUGAACCUUAAAAAGGAACACAAACAGAAACUUGGCUGCUAUCCUCAGAUAUGUUUCCUAUGCUGACUUGGCCAAGCUAUCUCCUUAAGGCACCUUUACCUUGACUUUCUUUUUCCCAGCUUGACAUUUUUUCAGGUUAAAUUCCAUAUACCAGUGCAAACAUUCUCUGCUUCCAAAAGCCUUCUUCCUCUUCACUCUCCCUCAUGCCUCUUUCUUUGAUGUCUUUGCUUCCUUGUGCUGUUUCUUCCAAGUGACAACUGUACAGUGCUAAGAGAGUUCAAUAUAUAAGCAUGUCACUCCCUUAUCCACCUACCCUAAGUAACUGCUACAUAUUUAUCACCUGGAUUCAGUAAUCAAGCCUGACAUCAAGAAACUCAGUCCCAUAUCUCCCAUCUUACUCAGUGGCGUCUCAUAGGGCCCUGAAUCCUUGUACUCUUGAAAUCUGCGGAUGCUAAAAUUAAUCUUUUAUUCCUCUUAACACAUUUUUUCUUCUUUUAUUUAAUGAAGUAAAAUAAUUGGUGUCCAGUUUGAUCUGCUUUUCUAGUAAUGAUAAUCAGCUGUCUUAAGUGCUCCCUGAAGCUGAUAGACAAUUCUUCCUCUGUUACUUCCUUUUAAAAGUCUGGGAUGCAGCCAUGUCUCCUCUCAGUUUCUCUGGUACCUCUCCCAUAGCCAGCUUAAGUUUCCUGGAUUAUUUCAUUCCUUUGACAUUUAUUUUUUAGGAUAAACCUGGGGUAUAAACAACUCAAUUUUUAAAUAGUUCUUUAUCUAGGUGGGUUCAGUCAAUUGUUUGAUUUCCUGGUAACCUUUAGAGUUAAUGAUUUUUUUUUUUUCCUGUCCUUGGAAAAUGUCUAGAAACUGUGACAGACUUCACAUCUCUCCCUACUGAAGACAGAGGUACAAGUAAUAAUUCAUUUUCCAGGCAAUAUUCCCCUUUUAGUCAAGGUAGCCAUCCUGUUGCUCAGGAAGAUGAUGGCUGUAUCCCCAGCUGCCCUGCAGCUUCCUACACAGCAAAUUUAUAAAAACUUUUAUCAUGUUCACAUCUUUUCCCUUCUUUUUCUGUCUCAGCUUUUUGGAUCAUUUUCUUGCAUUCUUUCACAAUCAGCUCUUCUGCCUGUUCCUGCAGCACUGACCCUGCUGAUUUAUAAUUCUCAUAUUCUUCUCUCUUUAUUGCUCAUUUUGUUUCCCCAGUCAAUCACAGUGGUUGUCCCUAUUCCAAGAAGGACAACUAUUCCUCAAUGGUAUACAGAUUUCUUGAUUUCCAUGGACUAUAUCUUUGAGUAUUUCCCCACUGCAUCCUACCUCUUCACUGCCUUUUGCUGUUUUUUUAAGAAAACAUAUGCCCCUCUCAGUGUUCUGAGAAGUGUGGAGAACUCUGGGUGUUUUCUGAGAGUUCAAAGCUUUUGCACUUCUAAUUUUGGGGAUUCAUAUGUUCCUGAUUUCAGAACUCAUUAAGUUUGGCCUGUGUUUUCGUACCCUCCUCUCCUGGCUUUUUUGUAUGAUACAUGGCAUAUCUGGGGAGAUGCCAAGUGCCUCAAUGCCAGCCCACAGCUUUAGCUGUAUAUUCAUAGUCUUUGCUAUACUUCCCAUAUAGCACAAAUACUUCCCAGAAAUGAAUGAACUUGUUUUCACACCACCCUGUGAGUAAAGAAAGUGCUAUUACUUACAUUAUAUGGAGAGGGAAACCAGGGCACAAAAGUUAAGAUUCAUAUUUGUGAAUGAACUUAAGUGCUUUACUCUAAUUCAGUUGAAAAUAAAAGUAUUUUCUUAAUUCUGUAAAUUAUUAGGUGUUUUUUGUUGUUGUUCUCAGAAGCCCAGCUGCUUUCCUCUGAGAAGCUUCCUAUUUUUUAACACUUUCCAGCCCCUUUGUCCCACACACAAGUCCCGCCUCCGCCAACACCAAUUUGUUCAUUCCACCUGCCCACAUAAUUCGCUCUCAUUUUCCCUUUUGCUUUUACACAGAAGCUUAACAUAAAUGUACUUAACCCAGCUAAAGCCUGGGCCAGCCUGCAGCCAGCAUCGCUUCUGAUAGCAAGGAUUGGUACAUCUUGCUUUGUUUUCCCACCAAGAGCAUGCAGAACACGGGUAUGACCCAUUUGCUUUGGAGUGGUUUAAAGUAUUUAAUUCCUCAGUGGUGGGAAUUUGCUUCCUACACAGAUGCAAAAAAUGAAGAGAUGAACCUCUGGAAUGCUCAGUCCCCAGAGGAUGAGAAAGGCAGUCGCUGUGGUAAGGCCCAAGUCCCCAGGCCCCGGCUCCAUUGCCAGCUGCUCCUGGAAGACCAUAAGAACUGCUGACCCUCAUACUUCCCCUGCUGAAGCCCCACAGGGCCAUUUCUGCAAACCCAGAUACAAAAUGAUGAUGGGUUACAAAACCAAUCUCCUCCACACCUCUCCACCUUUUCCCCAGCCUUUGCUCUCCUGCUCACUCCCUAAAGAGGUGUGUUAUCUCUACCAAAAUGGCCUGAAGGAAAAGCCUACCCUGGCUGUGCCUGCAGGUGCGAAGGGUCAGGGCUGGCUAUGCUGGCUGACCAAAACCCUGAAGUCAGGGUACUGCCUGUUCCUGGUGGCUUGUUCCUGGGGAUUGGAUCAUGCUCCCUUUUAGUUAGUGGGGGUCAGUCAGCACAGUCAGUGGAGUCAAGAUUUGCCUGACACGGAGAUGUCCAUCUGACUGGCUGAUAUACAGACUCUGCUGGCCACCAGAUUGCUGCACAUAGGACCAGCUUCCCAUGCCGGGCCAGGGGAAGUCCACCCAGAUCUCCCAGAAUAGCAAUACACCCCUUGGGCCACAGAAUUUUACUUGCUGUGUCCCAGGUUAUUGGCACAGUCAAUGUGAGUCUCACCCACAGAUGGACAGAAAUGCAGUGGGGCUCAGGGGGAGGAAUUCAGCAGGAGCCUGUGCACAGGACAUGGGACAGACAGCAAUGCUCUGUCAACAGACAGAGCUAGGCAGAUAAAUGGAAAUUAAUGAGGAGAGCAGCAGGAAGUGUCACAGCCCUGCCUUCCUACAUCACCAAUUGAUUGCAAAUGACCCUGUUUUAUCAGGCACUCAGUAAUGGCACAGCAGUCUCAGCACCGGGCAGUUUAUGGCACGAGCCAGUUUGCUGUUACAAUAAGAUGCUAAUAUUUUGAACAAUCAGGUACUCAUCACCAUAAAAUAAAGCUAAGCACUUUAGAUCCUGCUUAACAAGCCUGCUAAUGCACUAUUGAAAUCAAUGACACAUUUGAACAGUAAGAACUGCCCUGAAGCUUUUUAAAGCCUGCUGUCCUUAUUUUUCAUUUUGUGAGCAGAAUUAUUCCUUCCAGGAGAGCACCUUCUGUUUGACAGGCUACAGGACCGAAAGCACAAAGACAAGGACAGAGAUUGGUUGCUAACACGGGCCAGCAAGUAGCAUCCAAGAAGUUACUUGAUCUUGCCCUACCUCAGCUUCUGCAGGUUGCUGAGAGCCAGGUAUAAACACAGAAAUGGCCUUCUGUACUGCUCAAGCGCUUUGUGACUUGUGGAUGGAUGGAAAUGCAAUAUUAAAGGUUACAGACAAUUUUUCUUAAAUGGGCUCCAGCGAUUUUUGUUUACACAAUGCAAACUUGAUAAAACAAUUUCAGAUAAAACAUAUAUCAAAAACAUUUAAGCAAGAGCAUCUGUCACAACCUAAAAUAUGGAAUCUGUGAGAGACAAAGAAGAGAAAAUGGGAACUGUAUAAUCACAGACAGGAAGGGACAACGGGGAAAUAAUGGCAAAUCAAAUAUAGCAACUUUUUUCUCUUUCAAAUGACACUUCUCAUCAGCUAGCUUAUGUCGAAGGAAAAAGAAAAAAUCUCCUGUGAUUUUUAUCUAUUAGAUUUUGCUCCAAAUACUUGCCACGCUCAGGAGCUGCGGCUGCGAGGAGGCCCAGCUCUGCCACUCUCAGCUAAUAGGUUUGAUUGUUCCCUCUGAAAUUAUACUCACAGAUAGUGACCUGCGAGUCAAUCUGCCACUCAGCUCUGCAGAGCAAAGACGGGCCCCAGAUAAGGCGGCGGGUGAGCGACAUGCGCAGCCCGGCAGCCUGCGGCGGAGCUCGGCCACCCCAGUGGCGCCGCCGCUGCCUCUCCCCUUGCCCCUCGCAGCACUGCUGGGGAGGAAUGAGAAGAAAGUAAAAGGAAAUCCUCAGGCUGAAGAUGCCACAGAACAGGAAAAGGCAAGUUCUAAUGUCAAUCUAAUGACAGAUAUGACUCAAAGUUUCAGCAGGUGGGAAGGUGCUUCCCACACUUCCAGCAGGCUUCCCAGAGAGCAGGGCUGUGUCUCUCACUCGGGCAAGACUUUUAAGGUGUGAAUAUGGAUAUGGAUAAGCACUUGGAAAAAGUCUCAUGUGUCUAACAUCAAAGAGUGCAUUUCAGGCUCUUAACAGUUACAGUGAAAUGCUUGAAAGUGCAACUUGCAUACAUUUGAAGAGCUCCA